AGAGUUUGAUCAUGGCUCAGAACGAACGCUGGCGGCAGGCCUAACACAUGCAAGUCGAACGUGAAGCCACCUUCGGGUGGUGGAAAGUGGCAGACGGGUGAGUAACGCGUGGGAACGUGCCUUUCGGUUCGGAAUAACCCAGGGAAACUUGGGCUAAUACCGGAUACGCCCUUCGGGGGAAAGAUUCAUCGCCGAAAGAUCGGCCCGCGUCGGAUUAGCUAGUUGGUAGGGUAAUGGCCUACCAAGGCGACGAUCCGUAGCUGGUCUGAGAGGAUGACCAGCCACACUGGGACUGAGACACGGCCCAGACUCCUACGGGAGGCAGCAGUGGGGAAUAUUGGACAAUGGGCGAAAGCCUGAUCCAGCCAUGCCGCGUGGGUGAAGAAGGCCUUAGGGUUGUAAACCCCUUUCAGCGGGGAAGAUAAUGACGGUACCCGCAGAAGAAGCCCCGGCUAACUCCGUGCCAGCAGCCGCGGUA
rnacentral:rRNA from 1 species